GCCACAUCAACUUUCCAUCGGGCAAUUUACCAAUAAAAACUUUUUUUUUUAAAAAAAAUUACCGAAAUAGGCCCAUUAUUUUAUUAUUUAUCGGAAUGGUCUUUUUUCGCGAAAUCGCGUCUACGUCAACGCAUGUCAGAGUACGCGCCAAGAAAUUGCGUCCACGUCAGCAACUCGCGCUGACGUAAACGCGAUUUCCUCCCCGCGUGAACAGUACUCAAUGGUCAAAAAUUUGACCGUUGCCCCCCCUA
rnacentral:lncRNA from 1 species